UCCCCUAGUAACUGCGAGUGAAGCGGGAAAAGCUCAAAUUUUGAAUCUGGCGGUCGUUCGGCCGUCCGAGUUGUAAUCUAGAGAAGCGUCUUCCGCGCUGGACCGUGUACAAGUCUCCUGGAAGGGAGCGUCGUAGAGGGUGAGAAUCCCGUCUUUGACACGGACUGCCAGUGCUAUGUGAUGCGCUCUCGACGAGUCGAGUUGUUUGGGAAUGCGGCUCAAAAUGGGUGGUAAAUUCCAUCUAAAGCUAAAUACAGGCGAGAGACCGAUAGCGAACAAGUACCGAGAGGGAAAGAUGAAAAGAACUUUGGAAAGAGAGUUAAACAGUACGUGAAAUUGCUGAAAGGGAAACGCUUGAUGUCAGUCGCGUCGGCCGGGGAUCAACCUUGCUUCUCGCUGGGUGCACUUCCUGGUCGAUGGGUCAGCAUCAGUUUCGGUCGUCGUACAAUGGCAAAGGGAACGUGGCACUCUUCGGAGUGUGUUAUAGCCUUUCGUCGUAUGCGGCGGUCGGGACUGAGGAACUCGGCACGAUCUUCGGAUUUGUGUCUAGGAUGCUGGCAUAAUGGCCUUAAGCGACCCGUCUUGAAACACGGACCAAGGAGUCUAACAUGCCUGCGAGUGUUCGGGUGGCAAACCCGAGCGCACAACGAAAGUGAAAGUCGAGACCUCUGUCAUGGAGGGCAUCGACG
rnacentral:rRNA from 1 species